rnacentral:rRNA from 1 species
GAUGAACGCUGGCGGCGUGCUUAACACAUGCAUGUCGAACGAUGAAGCCCAGCUUGCUGGGUGGAUUAGUGGCGAACGGGUGAGUAACACGUGAGUAACCUGCCCUUAACUCUGGGAUAAGCCUGGGAAACUGGGUCUAAUACCGGAUAGGAGCGCCUACCGCAUGGUGGGUGUUGGAAAGAUUUAUCGGUUUUGGAUGGACUCGCGGCCUAUCAGCUUGUUGGUGAGGUAAUGGCUCACCAAGGCGACGACGGGUAGCCGGCCUGAGAGGGUGACCGGCCACACUGGGACUGAGACACGGCCCAGACUCCUACGGGAGGCAGCAGUGGGGAAUAUUGCACAAUGGGCGAAAGCCUGAUGCAGCGACGCCGCGUGAGGGAUGACGGCCUUCGGGUUGUAAACCUCUUUCAGUAGGGAAGAAGCGAAAGUGACGGUACCUGCAGAAGAAGCACCGGCUAACUACGUG